rnacentral:rRNA from 1 species
GACGAACGCUGGCGGCGUGCUUAACACAUGCAAGUCGAACGGUAAGGCCCUUCGGGGUACACGAGUGGCGAACGGGUGAGUAACACGUGGGUGAUCUGCCCUGCACUUCGGGAUAAGCCUGGGAAACUGGGUCUAAUACCGGAUAGGACUCCGGACUGCAUGGUCUGGGGUGGAAAGCUUUUGCGGUGUGGGAUGGGCCCGCGGCCUAUCAGCUUGUUGGUGGGGUGGUGGCCUACCAAGGCGACGACGGGUAGCCGGCCUGAGAGGGUGACCGGCCACACUGGGACUGAGAUACGGCCCAGACUCCUACGGGAGGCAGCAGUGGGGAAUAUUGCACAAUGGGCGCAAGCCUGAUGCAGCAACGCCGCGUGAGGGAUGACGGCCUUCGGGUUGUAAACCUCUUUUAGUAGGGAAGAAGCGAAAGUGACGGUACCUGCAGAAAAAGCACCGGCUAACUACGUGCCAGCCGCCGCAGUAA